UACGAAGGGAGCUAGCGUUGUUCGGAAUUACUGGGCGUAAAGCGCGCGUAGGUGGUCAUGCAAGUCAGGGGUGAAAUCCCGGAGCUCAACUCCGGAACUGCCUCUGAAACUGCAUGACUUGAGUCUCGGAGGGGAUGGUGGAAUUUCUAAUGUAGCGGUGAAAUGCGUAGAGAUUAGAAGGAACACCGGUGGCGAAGGCGACCAUCUGGACGAGUACUGACACUGAGGUGCGAAAGCGUGGGGAGCAAACAGG
rnacentral:misc_RNA from 1 species